GGUUGACACUUGAAACCUGAAAUCUUCCUCUUGAAACUUAAAAUUGAAAUGCUGUGGCAACACUGAAAAAUUGAACUUAAACUAAAAUUAGGCCUUGACAUGCUUUAACACCAUAUUACAAUUUUGAAUUAAAGGGUGGAGGCAAAUAAAUGGGAUAGAGACGAGAGUUUAUGAAGUAUGAUGUUGUGCACUGAAAGCUUGCAAACUACAAAGAAACAAAAUAAAUAAAUAAAAUACCAUC
rnacentral:misc_RNA from 1 species